rnacentral:rRNA from 1 species
CCUACGGGUGGCAGCAGUGGGGAAUAUUGCGCAAUGGGCGAAAGCCUGACGCAGCGACGCCGCGUGAGGGAUGAAGGUCUUCGGAUCGUAAACCUCUUUCAGCAGGGAAGAACGGUCACUGUGCUAUUCAGCAGUGAAUUGACGGUACCUGCAAAGGAAGCACCGGCGAACUCCGUGCCAGCAGCCGCGGUAAUACGGGGGGUGCGAGGGUUAAUCGGGAUUACUGGGCGUAAAGCGCUCGUAGGCGGGAUGUCAAGUCAAGGGUGAAAACCCCGGGCUGAACGUGGGAAGUGCCUUUGAAACUGGCGAACUGGAGUGUGCGAGAGGAUAGUGGAAUUCGAGGUGUAGGAGUGAAAUGCGUAGAUAUCUGGAGGAACAUCAGGGGCGAAGGCGACUAUCUGGCACAUAACUGACGCUGAGGAGCGAAAGCGUGGGUAGCAAACAGGAUUAGAUACCCCGGUAGUC